rnacentral:rRNA from 1 species
UACUUAGGGUGCAAGCGUUGUCCGGAAUUAUUGGGCGUAAAGAGCUCGUAGGCGGCUUGUCGCGUCGACUGUGAAAACCCGCGGCUCAACUGCGGGCUUGCAGCCGAUACGGGCAGGCUAGAGUUCGGUAGGGGAGACUGGAAUUCCUGGUGUAGCGGUGAAAUGCGCAGAUAUCAGGAGGAACACCGGUGGCGAAGGCGGGUCUCGGGGCCGAUACUGACGCUGAGGAGAGAAAGCGUGGGGAGCGAACAGG